UGCGGGAUGGUGUAACGGUAGCACGCCUCUCUUUGGAAGAGGAAAUUGGGGUUCAACUCCCUGUCCCGCAA
rnacentral:tRNA from 1 species